AACCUCCGCAAUGUGAGAAAUCGCGACGGGGGGAUCCCAAGUGCCAUUCUUAACGGGAUGGCUUUUCAUAAGUGUAAAGAGCUUUUGGAAUAAGGGCUGGGCAAGACCGGUGCCAGCCGCCGCGGUAACACCGGCAGCUCUAGUGGUAGCAGUUUUAUUGGGCCUAAAGCGUCCGUAGCCGGUUUAAUAAGUCUCUGGUGAAAUCCUGUAGCUUAACUGUGGGAAUUGCUGGAGAUACUAUUAGACUUGAGACCGGGAGAGGUUAGAGGUACUCCCAGGGUAGAGGUGAAAUUCUGUAAUCCUGGGAGGACCGCCUGUUGCGAAGGCGUCUAACUGGAACGGUUCUGACGGUGAGGGACGAAAGUUAGGGGCGCGAACCGGAUUAGAUACCCGGGUAGUCCUAACUGUAAACGAUGCGGACUUGGUGUUGGGGUGGCUUUGAGCUGCUCCAGUGCCGAAGGGAAGCUGUUAAGUCCGCCGCCUGGGAAGUACGGUCGCAAGACUGAAACUUAAAGGAAUU
rnacentral:rRNA from 1 species